ACACGUAGGGGGCGAGCGUUGUCCGGAAUUACUGGGUGUAAAGGGUGCGUAGGCGGCCUUGCAAGUCAGAUGUGAAAGAUCGCGGCUUAACUGUGGUAAGCAUUUGAAACUGUAAGGCUUGAGUGCAGGAGAGGAGAGUGGAAUUCCUAGUGUAGCGGUGAAAUGCGUAGAUAUUAGGAAGAAUAUCAGUGGCGAAGGCGGCUCUCUGGACUGCAACUGACGCUGAGGCACGAAAGCGUGGGGAGCAAACAGGAGUAGAUACCCUGGUACUCCACGCGGGAAACGAUGAGUGCUAGGUGUCGGGGGUCAUACCUCGGUGCCGCAGUUAACGCAUUAAGCACUCCACCUGGGGAGUACGGCCGCAAGGCUGAA
rnacentral:rRNA from 1 species